GAUGAAGAACGUAGCGAAAUGCGAUACGUAAUGUGAAUUGCAGAAUUCAGUGAAUCAUCGAAUCUUUGAACGCACAUUGCGCCUGCCAGCACUCUGGCAGGCAUGCCUGUUCGAGCGUCAUUUCAACCAUCAAGCCCUAGGCUUGCGUUGGAGCCCUGCGGCUGCCGCAGGCCCCUAAAAGCAGUGGCGGGCUCGCUAUCACACCGAGUGCAGUAGAUUACUCUUCGCUCAGGGCGUGUGGCGGGUUCCAGCCGUGAAACCCCCUACUUCUCAAGGUUGACCUCGGAUCAGGUAGGAAUACCCGCUGAACUUAAGCAUAUCAAUAAGCGGGAGGA
rnacentral:misc_RNA from 1 species